rnacentral:tRNA from 1 species
GGAGAGAUGGCAGAGUGGUCGAAUGCGCGCGCUUGGAAAGCGCGUGUAGGUGAAAGCCUACCGGGGGUUCGAAUCCCUCUCUCUCCGCCA